UACGUAGGGUGCAAGCGUUGUCCGGAAUCAUUGGGCGUAAAGAGCGCGUAGGCGGUCCGUAGUCGAUUGUGAAACUGGGGCGGUCAACCCAUCCAGAGGCCGACCGACUACUGUCGGCGUAGAGUCCGGAAGAGGCGAGUGGAAUUCCUGGUGUAGCGGUGAAAUGCGCAGAUAUCAGGAGGAACACCAAUAGCGAAGGCAGCUCGCUGGGACGGUACUGACGCUAAGGCGCGAAAGCGUGGGGAGCGAACAGG
rnacentral:rRNA from 1 species